UUAGGGAAAAAUAUGGCCUCGUUGGUCGUUGUUUGGAUUUCACAAGGAUGUCAAAUAAAAUGCAGAAAUUUACAAAACAUGCCAUAAAACUAUUGCAACAAAAGGUAGCAGUAUCACAAAAUGAUUCCGUCAGCUGAAAAGUCAUCCACUGCCAAAUUAAGACUGUUUUAAAAUCCGCAUGUGAACGUCUCCCCACACCAAAAAAACUUAUACCAGCUGUGACAGAAGCCACAACGGCAACAGCACGACAGAUCCCUGAACAGGCACACCAGGGGGGAACUUGGAAGGAAGACAAAACACCAGGGUUAAAAUACAAAUUUAAGAAACCUGGUUGCAGCAGGAUGAAUACAUCAGUUUAAAUGAAUCAACACGCUGGAGUUAUGCAAAGGGUCAGAAUUCUUGAAACACAGAACGAGGAGGAUUGGCAGCAAUUUUUCACUCUAGCUAAUAAACCGAAGACCUUGAAAUGAUUCAUUUGAAAGCUUUACUCAACUGGAAAACUCAAAAACCUGUUUUAUUUGUUAACUCUAUUGUCUACCUGACCUUUAUUCAGAGUUUCUAUCCGAUAUAGUUAGGGCCAGGGUUAGAGGUAUAGUGCUCAGCUGAGAUAAGUAUAGAUGAUUUACACAAAGAUGCAUCUCAUAUGACAUACAUUUCCUCUUGAAAUGCAUUGCUCACAAAUUUGUUUUCACUGACACGACACCCCCCCCCCCAUUACAAUAUGUAUCCAUCAAGAUGAAAAAAAGUGCUACAAGAAAAAGUUGACUACAGCUGCAAAGGGGGCACCAUAACCGUAGCUUCUGUAUUACCAGAUUUAGAAUUGUAUGUCAUAAGAAGUCCUAUAGUAUAAAUGUGUUGGUGCCCCAAAACUUGUCCACAUAGUGAAUUAUCUGCCUGUCAUUUCAAGUCAACUUAAAAAGAAGAAAGUUAUUUUAAGGAAUACAUUUUUCCACCUGAUGUAUGGAUAUAGUGUAAAAUGAAAA